UACGUAGGGCGCAAGCGUUGUCCGGAAUUAUUGGGCGUAAAGAGCUCGUAGGCGGCCUGUUGCGUCCGCUGUGAAAUCCCGGGGCUCAACCCCCGGGCCUGCAGUGGAUACGGGCUGGCUGGAGGCAGGCAGGGGAGAACGGAAUUCCUGGUGUAGCGGUGAAAUGCGCAGAUAUCAGGAGGAACACCGGUGGCGAAGGCGGUUCUCUGGGCCUGUUCUGACGCUGAGGAGCGAAAGCGUGGGGAGCGAACAGG
rnacentral:rRNA from 1 species